rnacentral:rRNA from 1 species
GUGACCUCAAAUCAGGUAGGACUACCCGCUGAACUUAAGCAUAUCAAUAAGCGGAGGAAAAGAAACUAACAAGGAUUCCCCUAGUAACUGCGAGUGAAGCGGGAAAAGCUCAAAUUUAAAAUCUGGCGGUCUUUGGCUGUCCGAGUUGUAAUCUAGAGAAGUGUUAUCCGCGCUGGACCGUGUACAAGUCUCCUGGAAUGGAGCAUCAUAGAGGGUGAGAAUCCCGUCUUUGACAUGGACUACCAGGGCUUUGUGAUGCGCUCUCAAAGAGUCGAGUUGUUUGGGAAUGCAGCUCAAAAUGGGUGGUAAAUUCCAUCUAAAGCUAAAUAUUGGCGAGAGACCGAUAGCGAACAAGUACCGUGAGGGAAAGAUGAAAAGAACUUUGGAAAGAGAGUUAAACAGUACGUGAAAUUGCUGAAAGGGAAACGCUUGAAGUCAGUCGCGUCGUCCAGGGAUCAACCUUGCUUUUGCUUGGUGCACUUUCUGGUUCGAUGGGUCAGCAUCAAUUUUGACUGUUGGAAAAAGGUUGAGGGAAUGUGGCAUCUUUGGAUGUGUUUAUAGCCCUUGGUCACAUACAAUG